rnacentral:rRNA from 1 species
UACGUAGGGUGCGAGCGUUAAUCGGAAUUACUGGGCGUAAAGCGUGCGCAGGCGGCUCUAUAAGACAGAUGUGAAAUCCCCGGGCUUAACCUGGGAACUGCGUUUGUGACUGUAGGGCUAGAGUGCGGCAGAGGGGGGUAGAAUUCCACGUGUAGCAGUGAAAUGCGUAGAGAUGUGGAGGAAUACCGAUGGCGAAGGCAGCCCCCUGGGUCGACACUGACGCUCAUGCACGAAAGCGUGGGGAGCAAACAGG